GACCCCGUAGCUCAGUGGUAGAGCGUAAGAUUCCAGAUAUUGUUCUUCCUUAAGGUCAUCCGUUCAAUCCGGGUCGGGGUCA
rnacentral:tRNA from 1 species